UCCUGCCUCAGCCUCUACCAUUUUCUUUUAAUGUUUCUUUGGGGGUUUGGAGAGCUAGGCAAGUGCUCUACCACUGAGCUAUAUCUCCAGCUCCCACCAUUUCCUUAAGUAUAAAAAGUCUUUCCUUCGAUUGUAUCAUUUUAGCUGGGUACUGAAGAUGGAAUGAGAGUUCUCCAGGGACAGAGGUAGGAGGGAAUCUGAAUUAGGGGAGAAGGGUAUCUAUAGGGCACAUAGCUUGUGCAUGGCUUAUUUGGGCCAUCUUAGAAAAUAUAGGACGGAAUGAAGGGAGGGGAAGGUUGGGAGUUUGCCAAGAGAUUGCAAAGUUGAGUUAGUGCCGAGGCCGUGUGUUCUAAAACUGAAGGGUCAGGGAAGCUGGAGGACAACUGAGGAGGUGUGGUCUAGUGGUGUGGUCUUCUGAUAGGGGACCGACAGACAGACGUGAGUGGUGGGACAGGAGGUUAAGGGAAUGAUUUUGUAAACUGGGGCCACUGUGCUGACCCCCACGUGCUUUUUUUUUCACCUUUGAAAAGCAAUUGACUUACAACCCUUUCUGGCUCAAGUCCCCAGGACCUACAUUCCCCAGGAAACUGCCUGUUUUCUACAGGAGAAAUGCAGGCCCCAAAUAAUGCCGAAAAGGGAACACAAGUUACCCUGAAGUGUCGGGAGGGACUUUUGUGACCUUUACAUAGACCAGACCUCAGAACUCAGGAGAUGAGGAUAAUUCCUCCUAACCAUAAAAUCUAAAAACAGGUUCCAGCAUAGGUCAAAGUGACCUAGGGUUAUUACGAUAGUGAAGGCUCGAAAGUCUGAUGUCAUCUCAUUGUCAGUCAAAAGUCAAGAGGUGAACCAGGGCAAGAUUCUCCAGGAACUUCCCUGGAACUCCCAGUAAAACUGGAGGGCACGCCUAUGAUCCCCUCAACUCAGGAGGCUGAGGCAGGAGGGUUACAAGUUUGAGGCCAGACUCAGCAACUUAGUGAGGCCCUAGGCAACUUAGUGAGACCCUGUCUCAAAAGAAAAAAAAUAAAAAGGACUAGGGAUGUGACUUAGUUGUAAAGUGCCCCUGUGUUAAAU
rnacentral:lncRNA from 1 species